rnacentral:rRNA from 1 species
UACGUAGGGGGCGAGCGUUGUCCGGAGUUACUGGGCGUAAAGCGCUUGUAGGCGGUCCACCAAGUUUGGGGUGACAGUUGCCGACUUAAUCGGCAAAGUGCCUCAAAGACUGGCGGACUUGAGGGCCACAGAGGGACAUGGAACUCCAGGUGUAGUGGUGAAAUGCGUAGAUAUCUGGAAGAACACCAGUGGCGAAGGCGACUUACUGGACACAUAUUGACGCUGAGGUGCGAAAGCGUGGGGAGCAAACAGG